AUGGGGAAGCCAGCGAAUCCAUGGAUGGGAUGCAGAAGAACAAAUGAUCGGAGCCUGCAAAUCCUAGAAUUCGAAACUCACAGUAUAUGAAGUUCAUUCAUGAAAUCGUAAAAGAUUGAUGGGGAAGCCAUCGAAUCCAUGGAUGGGAUGCAGAAGAACAAAUGGCGAACACUAGAAGACGUUUCGGCGAUGGAAGUGAUAGAAUUGCCGACAUAGUCCACUCGCCGCUGGUCUAGCCGUCGGGAUUGGCUGGUGGCGAAUUUGAAGCUCGUGGAUUUGUUUUUAUUUUAUCUUUUGCUUUAUUUCAGUGGGGAAGGAGGAGGAAGGAGGAAAGAGGGAAGAAUGGGGGAAGACGGAUGAGUGGGGAACAAGGGUGAGAACAUGGGUUGGUAGAGUGGGGCCCAAUAUUGAAUUUUCUUAAUAUGUUAUGUUUAGUUUUAAAUUUUAAGGUAAAUCUCUGUUUACUACUCUC
rnacentral:sRNA from 1 species